rnacentral:lncRNA from 1 species
UUUUUUUUAUCAUACAAGAUAAGUUGUAUUUAAAGUCCAAAUGGACAAUUGAUUACAAAGCCAAACUGGCCCAAUAACAAAACAGCCCAAAUUUCAACCCAAACCCGAAUAGAAUCUAGCCCAUCUCAAGAAUUUUCUGGAAUACCCACCUCUCCAUCCCUCGCUCUCCCACAAUUGAUUCCCGGGCUCCAGAUGCUUGUGAAACUGUCGAUGACCAUACGCGUAGAAGAUAAAAUUCAAGUAAAAACCAGCAACUCAAAUCCGAAAACAACUCAAGAGAGCAACAUCCUGAUAGGAAAGGAAGAAAAUGAAAGAGUUCAAACAACGAAACAUGCUCAACCCAUACCAGGUUCGAGACCAAAAUCGCCAACUGAAAUCCAAGGGGAAGGCCAUGAUAUAGCCAUGGAGCCGCAGGAAGAAGGCAAAUUCGCACUCCAGCUUGAAUUAUCCAUCGAUUCGCACCACCCUCGACAACAAUCGGUCGAAAAGAAGAUCUGAGACGCAGAAUGAAAUUAUGUAACUAGAGAUACAAUCGCACCGAACACGGACAAAAUCGGAUCCCAGCCAAAUACCUCACUGCAUAUCAUAAGAGCAAAACCAAAACUAUACAGAAAAUCGCAGCAAGAGAAAUCUCACCCCUGAAAACCCUCGUCUUCCAGGUCGCUUAUACUCUUUCUCUAUUGCUUUCUUCUUCUUCUUAUUUUUAUUUUUAUUUUUUCUAAAUAUAAUAGACUGAAUAUUUCGCUCUCUAUAUAUAAAUCUCAUUGUCUCGUAUAUAGCAUGAAGAUAAUCAAGUUGCAGAUCUUUUAGCAAAAGAGGGAGCAACGUCAAUAUGCUUCGUUGCUUUUCCAUAAAAAGAACUUUUCACUUUUGUUCUCAGUUUCUUUUUUAUUUCAAUUGACCUGGUUAUGCUAUUAUAUGAGCUAGCCGAUUGCUUUUCUUUGCUUUGCUUUCUUUCUUUCUUUUUUUUNUAUUUUUUUAUUUUUUUAUACGGUUUUGUUUGGUCUUCUGUAUUCUUCAGAUUUUUUCAUUUAAUAUAUCACAACUCUAAAAUGGAUGUAAGGGGUUUUUCAGGGGUUUAGUUUCCCAUGAUUAUACUAAGUUUUUCUGAUUUUUUUACAUAAAAUUUUAUUUAUAAAAAUAUUAAUGAUUUGAAAAUUGUUACGUUCAUUUUCAUCGGUUCUAAAAUGGAUGUAAGGGGUUUUUUUAAAAUUUAAUUUGCUAUGAUUAUACUAAAUUUUUUCUGGUUUUUUUUAAAUAAAAUUUUAUUUAUAAAAAAUAUAAAUUAAUAAUAAUAAUUUGAAAAUUAUUGCAUCUAUAUUAAUCGAUAUAAUUAAUAUACAACAAUGAUAUAAUUAAUUAUUUUGGUGGCCUUAGAAUUUUGGAUUUUAUUAAAAAUUUUUAAUUUGCAAUAUUUUCUCUAAAUUUUUGUUUUUCUAUAAUCAAAAUAAUUUUUCUUAUUUUAAUAAGAAAACUUAGUUUAUUUCACAGUUAAUUUUAAUUUAAAAAAUAAAAUUUAUUUAUAAAAGCUUUAGUAAAAUAAGUCUUUUUCCUUAAAAUAAUUUAUUUUUUUUAAUAAAAAAAAAUAUUUUUUUACGUUGAUUAAAUUUUUUGAAUGUUUUAAAUAUCAAAAAAUAUAAAAAUUUUUUUUUAAAAAUAUUUUAAAUAAAUGGGUCGAAAUGUUUAAUUUUUUUUUUUUUAGUUUAAUUUAGAGUAUGAAAAGAAAAACCAAUUUACCUUUUAAGUCUAUACUUCAUUUUUCAAGUUAUAAUUAUUUUUUGUAUUUUAUGUUAGAAUUCCGAAAUCUCACCAUGAGGGAUCAACAAAAAAUAGUAGCAAUAAAAUUAAAGUUUAACAAUCAAAGUGUGGCUAAAUAAAUUUGUUUAAAAAGGAUACUAUUCAAAAUUUUCUCAUCAUUUACAACAAUUAUUUAUCUAUUUUAAUAAAAAAAAUAUAUGGAGACAUAAAAAAAAUUAAUUUACGUAUUAGCAGGAUGUGCAGUUUUUCUAUUGAUAUUUAAAAAAAAAAAACUGAUUUUUCGGUUUUUUAAUUUUGAUUUGAUUAGGUAUCAAGCUGACCCCAAGUGCUUUUUAAGUGUAAUUCUUUAUCUUUGUUAGGAAUGAAGAUUUCCCUUUUAAAAUAAAUAAAAAUAAAUUGAAUAUAAGUGGUUAGACAAUAAUAUUAAAUUGAUUUUAAUAUGUUCAUCAAUUUCUCUAAAAUUUUGUAUUUAAUUUGAGUUUUAACUAUCCAUAAUGUUAUAUAAUUAUGUCCAUAUUAAGUUAUAUAAAUUAAUAUUAAGUAUUAUAAGUGUUACAAAUAAAAAUUCUACAUUAAAAAUAAAUAAAAAUAAAAUAAUUAAUAACAGCGAUUGAAUUAUAAUUUCAAAUUAAUUAAUCAUUUUAAUAUAUAAAUCAACUCAAUCACUUAUAUAAAAUAAAUUAAUAUUUAAUAUAUUCUACGCUCUUUUCAAAAUUUAACAAUCCCAUAGUGUUAAAGUUUAUUCAACUCGAAUCAUUUAAAAAAAUUGAUAGUCCUAAAUUUUAAUUUUUUUAAUAAGCAUAAAAUUAAUUUAUUAAAUAAAUGAAAGGAAUAGUAAAAGGAGAAAGUGCUCUAAAGACCAUCCAACAUAGAGAGGGAACAUCUCCGAUUGCAAGAACAACAAAACAAAGUAAAGUAUAAAACACUUACCCUCCAUUUACAAUGAAACAUUUUAUAAAAAUUUAAUUUCAAUUGAUUUUUUUUAAAUAAUUUCUUAUAUGGUAUGAAAUUAUUCUGCUUAAAAUUUUCUUUUUAACAAUUUAACUUAAAAAAUUUCAUUUUAAAAUAAGUUGAAAUUUCAAAUGAUUUUGAAAAUUUUAAUUUAUUUUUUUUCUUAUAAAAUAAUAAUACCAAAUAAAGGAUUAAUGAAAAACGCAAUAAAUCAAAAUACUUAUUGGGCAACUAUAUCUUCAAUUAGUUUGAUUAAAAAAUAUUAUUGUUACACAACACUCGCUUAAAAAAAUAUUAUUGUUACACAACACUCGUUUAAAGUAGGUAGCGAGCUGUCACUAUAAGAUAGAGUCACAUGAAUAGGAUUUAACACACAGUCCUACUCGUAAAAAGAAAAGCUCGGAUGACCAUAAUGUCCGAAACCGAGAGAAAAAAAAGACUUGGACGCUACAGGUUGGCCUCAAGACAAGUCGGUUUAAGGUCGGACAGACUCACCCUCUUAACUUCAGGACAAGACUCCAUAAGGAAGUUACCUUUAACAGUUAUAAUCUAGCAGAUCCCCUUUAUGCCUGUAAUCAUGGAAUCCCGGCCAAUUAGCCAAUGAAGAUCUUUUACCAACUAGCCGACCACAUCAUCAACGAAUUAUCAGGAAAUACUAUAUUUUUUUUCAUCUUCUUAUAGUAUAAAAGGAGAAUGAUCACAGAGGCAAAGGUACGCUAUUCUCUCAUACCAAUACUCUAAGUUCUAAAGAUCAUACUUACCUUUCUCUUCAACUUACUAACUUGAGUAUCAGAGUGGCUGCCAUAGGCACCAACCACCUUACGUUCUCUGUCUUGCAGGUGGACCAAUCAUAGCACAAUUCCGUUGGACCAAUUACAAUACGGCUCCAUUCUGGCCACGUCAUCAAUUUAUUUUUAGGAGUAUCAUUUUGGUUUUGUUGCUGUGAAUCCAUUGAAUCCUCUCUGUUCAUUUGGAUUAUAACCUAUUUUCUACUCUUUUUCUCAUAAAAAGAGAUCUCUUUCUUUUCUUGAAAUGGUUGGUAGUUCAUGAGCUGCUGCUAAGACUGCUACCAAUGAGGGCGUCAUCAUCUCUUAUGCCCCUGGCAGUAGGCAAAACACGCCCUCAAUAGUCAAUAAAACAAAUCUCAACAACUUGACCAAUGAGAAGAAGCUCCAAUACAUCUAGAAGUUGCAGGCUACUCUCGAGCAAUACAAGGCCUGGAGGGAGGCGUCAGUCACGGCUCUCAUGGAAAGGGAAGAAGCUCCUGUUGACACCCUAAGGACCCAUACAGGGUCGAAUAAGAGAUGGUCCAAAGGGAAGGCGGAGGUCGAAGAAGAUGAAGUAAAGAAUGCUCCGAAAGGUGUGGACUGAAAGUUAGUACAGACUGUUCAAAGGUACCAGAGAGAACAAAAGGAGGACUUUGGCAUAGAGCAGGAUGCUUCGCCUCUUUUAAAAGAAAUUUUGGUAGAAAUCUUCCCAACUAAAUUCGAGCUGCCUAGCUUAGAUAAAUAUGAUGGAACAACAGAUCCCAGAAGUCACCUAACUAUCUUUAGGACGACCAUGCAGCUUCAGGAUGUCAUUGACCUUAUUUUUUGCCGAAUGUUUCCGUCAACAUUCACAGGUUUGGCUUAAAAAUAGUAACAACAUCUGAGUUCGGAUUUGAUUUAAAACUUUAUGCAGUUCACUACAUGAUUUAAAUCUCGAUUUAUUACUUGUAUACCUCCUAAAAAAACUCUCCUCUGACUUGCAGAAGAUCCACUAAGAAGAGGGCGAGUUUCUAAGGAGUUUUAUCUCACGGUUCAAUGUCGAGGCUAUACAGGUGGAAGAAUUAAAUCAUGAGAUAGCAUGUGAAGCACUGAAGAAAGCAAUACGCAAUGUCAAGUUCAUGAAUUUCUUAAUUAAAAAUUCAGUCGCAAUGUAUCAAUAGUUGAUAGACAAAACCCAGAAGUAUAUCAGGCUGGAUGACAAAAUCCAAGCACUAAGGAAGGACAAGAGAGCGAACCAAAAGAAAAAAGAAAAGCCAAAAAGACAAGGACAUGAAGGGGAACACAGAAGUUAUCAUGUCUCCUGAAGGAGGGAUAGUCAAAGUAAGUAUAAGAAUUAUACUCCGUUGAAUGACUCACGGACACGUAUUUUAAUGUGGAUCAUGAAAAAAGACAAGAAAAUAAAGUGGCUACCUAAGUUCAAUCCCGAGAAAGUGGAAAAAAUGAGACAGGACCAAGUACUGCCGUUUCUAGAAAGAUCAUGGUCAUACAAUGGAGGAGUGUUGGUAAUUAAAAGAUGAGAUUGAGAAACUGAUAAGGAAUGACACUCUUUGGAAGUUCACCAAGAAGGGUAGGAAAGAGGAAAGACCCAAACCCGAAGCAACAACUCCCGAGACCAUUCCCUGACUGAUAGCCUGUAGGGAUUAUUUAUGUAAUGGUGGAAGGACCUAGUGAUGAUUAGGGAAAAUAAGCAUACCACAGACGUAAUAGUCAGCCUGGUCGAUUGGGCGAGAACUGAAAAAGGUAAUAAUCCGAACGUUGGACAGUGAAAACAUUCAUAAAAGACUGCAGCUUCGUUGGGCAUGAGUCUCGCAUAAUAAGGCAUCUCAUGCCAGGCCAUAAGGUAAUCACCAGGUCAUAAUACGGGCGUUGGACCAUGAAAAUAUUUAUAAAAGAUCGCAGCUCCGUUAGGCAUGGGUCUUGCAUAACAAGGCAUCUCAUGUCAGGCCAUAAAGCAAUCGCUAGGCCAUAAUCCGGGCGUUGGAUCGUGGAAACAAACAUAUUCAUAAAACGACCACAAGGUCAUCUGAGCAUGAGUUCUGCAUAUAACCGAGCAUUGGAUCAUGGAAACAAACAAGUAAACAAAGGCCACAAGGCCAUCUGAGCAUGGGUCCUGCAUAUAAUUUGAGCGUUGGACCGUAGAAACAAACAAAUUCAUAAAAGGCCUCAAGGCCAUCCGAGCAUGGGUCCCACAUAACAAGGCAUUUAAUGCCAGGUUUCAAGGCAGAUAUAAGCUAGGUUGACCUAUCAGAUGUUAGUCCCGCUUUAUGAGAAGUUUUUAAGGCAUUUAAAGCCAGGCCGCAAGACGAGUAUAAGCCAAGUCUACCUACCGGGUGUUAAUCCUGCUUCACGAAAAGUUUCUAAGACAUUUAAUGCCAGGCUACAAGGCGGGUAUAAGUCAGGCUGACCUACCGAAUGUUAGUCCCGAGAAAUUUCUAAGGCAUUUAAUGCAUACCUCAAGACGGGUAUAAGCCAGGCCGACCUACUGAGUGUUAGUCCCAAAAAGUUUCUAAGGAAUUUAAUGUCAGACCUCAAGGCAAGUAUAAGUUAGGCCGAUCUACCAGGUGUUAGUGUCGAGAAGUUUCUAAGGCAUUUAAAGUCAGGCCUUAAGCGGAUAUAAGCCAGCUCAACUUAGCGAGUGUUAGUCCAACUUCACGAGAAAUUUAUAAGGCAUUUAAUAUCAGGCUGACCUAUCGGGUAUUAGUUUUGCUUUACGAGAAGUUUCUAAAGCAUCUAAUAUCAGGCCGCAAGCAGAUAUAAGCCAAGCUAACUUACCGAGUAUUAGUCCUGCUUUACGAGAAGUUUCUAAGGCAUUUAAUGUCAGGUCGCUAUGUGAAUAUAUGUCAGGCCAUUGUUUUCCAAGCUGAUAGUAUAAAAAAAAAAAAACAAACUUAGCAUUUCCUAGUAAACCAUGAGAGGCUAAAGGUUGAAGUUUACCAGCAUAAGUAUGACCAAGGUAGAGAUGCCACUGAUAGGAAGGGGAAGGAGUGGUUGUAGCUGCAGAUAUAUAUAUUGACGUGGAAUACGGUGAGAUGAAAGCUCAAAUAAUUUGCCCACUCUACAAUCUGUCCUAAGAAUCUGUCCCAUCUGUGAAUCCUAAACCUGGUAGCCAAGAGAAGAAAAAUAACUAUCAAUCCAUUUUCACAUAAUUUUCCAAUAGAUAUGAGGUUUAAAGUUAAUUAGUGACAUGAUUGAUAUUUGAAAAGUUAAGAUAUGAUGUAGAAGCAAGGCUAGUGUGAGUGAUAUUCAUUAUGGUCCCAUUAGCAAUAUUUAUAAGUGGCAAAGUGGAAAUAGAAGUUGGAUUUGAUAAAACUAUAGGGUCAAAGGUCAUAUGGUUACAACAGGCUAAGUCAAACAAUCAAGAAGAGUUAUCUAAAAGACAGACAUAGCACUUGAAGAAGAGAAAUUAGAGAAGAAAACCUGUUUAAAAAGAGCCUCAAGGUCACUUAUCGUAAUAGUAGUAGAAACCUUAGUAGUGACAACUGCGAGGGAAGAAGAUCUAGUCUUUGUGAUAUUCUUAGGCUUGAAAGAACCAUUCUUUGGUCGAAGAGGGCGAGUAGGACAAUUUUCAAGAAUGUGACCAAUACUAUGACAAUAUUUGCACUCUAUGAUAGGAAUUCUUACAAAAUUGAUUACCUAAUUUUUUAGCAAUAGAACGAGAAUGAGUUGCUACAAUUUUGUCCAGACUGAGACGAGUUUCUUCAAAAAUUAUUUCUUGAAUGGUAGUAUUUAAUAUAGGAAGAGGAUCUCGAUAGAGCAAGGCUGCAUGAACUGACUUCAUAUUCAAGUCGAAGAGCCAUGACAACCUGAAUGAGAUAGAGAUGAUCCUCAUUGAUUUUAGUUUGAGAUAAUUAAUUCCAAAUUGGUUGAAUCUGUGAAAAAAAAUCAUUCACAUAUUGUCCAGACUCUUACUUCAAAUGAUGAAGAGUAGUCCAUCAUUGAUAAUGGUGAGCACGGCAGAAGUGUGGUAUUGACUGGCCAAGAAAUCCCAUAUGCAUAAUAAUAUCUAUAUAUAGAUCUCGACAAGCAGAAUUGAAAAGUAGUGUUUCUUGAUCAGAUGAAACAUAUUAUCUAAUUACUUAGGAACAUUUUAUUUUUUUUAAAAAAAUAUUUUAAAUAAAUUCUUAUAAAAUUAUACACAAUUUCAAUUUCUUUUUAUAAUGAAUUAAAAAAAAAAAUGAAACAUAUUGUCUUAGCAACAUUUCAUUUUUCAAAAAAAUUAUUUUAAAUAAUUUUUUACAAAAUCAUACACAGUUUUAAUUUCUUUUAAAAUGAAUUAAAAAAAUAAAUUCUAAUUCCAAACAAGAUAAUUGAUUAAAAAAAUUAUCAAAUUUAAAUCCUCCGAAACAUUUUGAUUUCAAAUAGAGUUUGAAAUUUGGCGCUACUAUAGUCCUUCAUAAAAAAUUAUCAAAUUGAAAUCUUUUAAAAUAUUCGUAAUAAACUCGUUUAUUAUAUUAACGAGUCUAAAAAAUUAUCAAAUUAAAAUCGGCGCUACCACAGUCCUCCUUUCCUUCAUCAGAUUCGAGUUUUUUGAAUAGAGUUUGAAUUGACUUAUUAAUGUAAUAAACGAGUUUAUUACGAAUCGAGUUCGAACCGAACUCGAAUUUCAUAUUUAUUUUAUAAAUCGAGCUUGAGAUUAUAAAUAAAAACGAGUCGAACUUGAACUUUUAAAUUUAUUUUCUAAUCGAGUCUGAACUUAUUAAAACUCGACUCGAUUCGAUUCGAUUCGAUUACGGUCCUAAAAACAAAAAAGUUUUCUUUGAACCUUCUAGUACUUUUAAGGUUUUUUUUAUCAAAAUAAAAAAUUUUAAUUAUAAAUGUGAAAAUAUAUAAAAUAAUAAUUUUUUAGUCUUAUUAUUAUUAUAAAAUUAAAUAAAUUAUUACGGUUAUUCUAAUUCUCCCACCCCUUUUGAUCGAAAACUUUAUUAAAUUGAAAAAUAUUGAUAAAAACAUUUAAAUAUAAAUUAUAUUUUAGUUUUUGAGUCUUAAUAUAAUUAACGAAUCACUCUUUAUAUUUUUAAAAUCAAAUACUUAAAAUUCUUUUAUUUUUAUUCUAUCACUCCUUAUACUUUUAAAAUCGAACAUUUAAAUUUUUUUAUUUUUAUUCUGUUUAAAUGGACACCUCUAUCCAUUUUUCAGUUAAUUCAUUUAUAAAUUAUUAGUGAAAUAUUUUAUCUUUAUAAAAUACCUCUUAGACUAUAUAACACAUUUAAAAAUAAACUUUUACAUCAACACCCACUAACAACUGAAUGCCAAGAAUUUGACUCCCCGGAAUUGAAUGCCAAAAUUUACUCAUCCCAAUUAAAAGUAAAAGCUUUUAAUUAUAUCUCUCUCUAGCUAAGAACAUAAUCACAAAAUUUGCAGCAAUGUUCCUAAUUUUUCUUCUUCUGAGUUCAAUAUCUUCUCUGGCAACAGCUCAACGAAGUAUCAUCAGCCUAGGUUCGUCUCUCACACCCACUAACAAUUCGUAUUGGUCUUCAGAAUCUGGCCAUUUCGCCUUUGGUUUUUACCCACAAGGAGUCGGCUUUGCUGUAGGCAUAUGGUUGUUUAGAAUCCAUCAGAGAACUGUCAUUUGGACAGCUAACCGUGAGGAUCCACCUCUCUCUAGGAAUGCUACUUUGAUCCUUAAUGCUCAAGGUGAACUCAUUCUGCAGCAGCAGGGAAUUGAAUCCAAAUUCAUUGCAAAUAUUCCCAUAUAUGAUUCGGAUUCCAACUUCAUAUGGCAGACUUUUUAUGCUCCUACAGACACCAUCUUACCAGGGCAGGAACAUUUGGUGUGUAGCAUCUCCGACAUAGUUCAUUCAAGUGGAAGAUUUG